rnacentral:SRP_RNA from 1 species
CCGUGCUAGGUGGGAAGGUAGCGGUGUCUUGUAACUCGCAAUCCGCUCUAGCGAGACUGAACUCCUUCUCUGAGGCGAUUAGAUAUGUAGGGUCUGACUUAUGCACGUAGUGUUGACGUCUGGGUCCUGCGCAAUGAGUACCCAUGAACCAUGUCAGGUCCGGAAGGAAGCAGCAUUAAGUGGUUUUUCUCAUGUGCCGCAGGGUUACCUUCACUGAGCUAACGACAUAUGUAGCGCUUAUGUUCUUUCGACGAAGGAAGGUGCACGG